CAAGAAUAAAAUCACUGCACCAAUUGAAUGCCCACUUGGAGCUGAAAAUUUGGAUGGGGGAAGGCUUGGAAGCCGUGUGGCUCUGGCCGGUGAUGGUAAAACGGUCAGUGCUCCAAUGUAAUUACGUUCCAGUCCUCUCUCUUUGCCCACAGAGCUGUCUCCCUCACUGUCGGAUGAGCUGGAUUCAAGCGUUGGCUGUGCAUGUUGGAGAAUUUGCUAUUGAUGAGGCAUCUGUGCAGAAGUUUUGCAGACAGAAGAACACUCCCCCGACCCCCCGAUCCUGCCCCAACUUGAAGAGAGAACUCUGGCAUUUCCUCAAUCUGUCUGGCUUAAUUGAUUGUAAACCUUGUUUUCUUUUCUUUUUAUUCCACUUUUUUUCCUGAUUAUGGAAGCAAUACAUAUUAAUGCUAUAAAUAUCAAGCAAUGUAAAUUAUAGAAUCUAAUGUGACAGUCACCCAUGAUUAAGCCGCCACCUAUAGAUAACCACCAUUCACUAGUAUAUAGUUUUCCUUUGAUGAUUUCAAGAACAUAUUGAAGGAUUGUGUAUGUAUUUAUAAAAUAACGUUUAAAUACACAGCCAUGCACAUGCACAGAAAUCAGUCCAUACAAUGCAUAUUAUGAAACUUGCCUUUGUUCCCUGACAAUAGAUUUGUCAUUUUUUCUAUCAAUCCAUGCAGCUCUACCUCAUCCUUUUUUUUUUUUUUAAGUAACAGAUUUUAUUUUUUAGGGAAGUUUUAGAGUUACAGAAAAAUUGAGUGGAAAGAACAGAGUACCCACAUAACUGCUCUGCUCCUCACACACACACAGCCUCCCCCACAUUCAACAUCCCACAGUGUAGUGAUACACUUGUUACAAUCCAUGAAAAGACAUUGACACAGCAUUAUCCACCACUCAUUGUGUUGUGUAUUCUGUGGGUUUUGAUAAAUGUAUAAUGACAUGUACUCACUAUUAUCACAUCCUACAGAAUAGUUUCUCUGCCCUAAAGAACCUCUGUGCUCUACCUAUUUAUCCCAUCUUCCCCUGAACUCCUGGAAACCACUGAUCUUGCUAUUGUCUUCAUAAUUUUGCCCUUUCUAGAAUGUCAUAUGUUUAGAAUCAUAUGGUAUGUAUCCUAUUCAGAUUGGCAUCUUUCACUUUGAAAUAUGCAUUUAAGGAUCCACUAUGCCUUAAUGUGGCUUGAUAGCUCAUUUCUUUUUAGUGCUUAAUAAUAUUGUAUUGUGUGGAUGUACCAAUUUGUGUAUCUAUUCACCUACUGAAGAACAUCUCCGUUGCUUCCAAGUUUUGGUAAUCAUGAAUAAAGCUGCUGUAACCAUUCA
rnacentral:lncRNA from 1 species